rnacentral:sRNA from 1 species
AAAAUCACAGACCCGUGUGGAGCCCGAGCUCUCAUUCACAGCUUUCUAGAGAAAUCUGAGCCCGAACCUGCCAGAAUAGGGGAUCUCACCCACCCAGUUCAGCAGCGAGGACACCUGCAGAAAUACAUUCCCAAAGCAAGGCUGGGCGGACGUGUGAAGUAAGCAAUGGCCUCAGUUUUGCUUCUCUUUUGGAUGAACACCACCACAUAGGGCCUGAAUGUGAAAGAAGACCCUCUAUUUGUCUGUUGCGGGGCAGCCUGGUAGUAAAACACUGUUGAAUGGGCCACAGUUUCAGCAGACCAUCAGGUGAAUGGGACCAGUCUCUCUUCUUCCAAAAUAUCAGAAGUUAAACACUUGGAACGGAGAUUUGGCCAAGAUGACCCAUUUACAGGCUGGACUCAGUCCAGAGACUAUAGAGAAAGCUCGCCUGGAACUGAAUGAAAACCCCGAUAUUUUACAUCAGGAUAUUCAGCAAGUCAGGGACAUGAUCAUCACCAGGCCUGACAUUGGAUUUUUACGUACAGAUGAUGCCUUCAUCCUGAGAUUUCUCCGAGCCAGGAAGUUUCACCAAGCGGAUGCCUUUAGACUCCUGGCUCAGUAUUUCCAGUACCGCCAGCUAAACCUGGACAUGUUCAAAAACUUCAAGGCAGAUGAUCCCGGCAUUAAGAGGGCUCUGAUCGAUGGGUUCCCCGGGGUGCUGGAAAACCGAGACCACUACGGCAGGAAGAUUCUUUUGCUGUUUGCAGCCAAUUGGGAUCAGAGAACUCCUUCACAGACAUCCUUCGUGCCAUCCUGCUGUCAUUGGAAGUCCUAAUCGAAGAUCCGGAGCUUCAGAUAAAUGGCUUCAUUUUAAUUAUAGACUGGAGUAAUUUUUCCUUCAAACAAGCCUCCAAACUGACACCUUCAAUCCUUAAACUGGCCAUUGAGGGGUUGCAGGUAUGUUCAAUUAAUGCGCAAUACAAGACCAUGUGUGGCAACAUACUUUUUAAAAAAUUAUUGCAACCAAAGUAAUAUUUAUCCUUUGGAGUGGAAAAAGGAAACUUGGAUUAAAUUCAUCUGAGUACUCCAUGUUUUUGCCUCAGCCAGAGUUUUAGAUGCUUUUUAAAAUUAACUUUCAUUUUCAUUAAUAACUCCAAAUUACUCUUACCCCAGGCACAAAUUAUCCACUGUAGCAAUAAUGAAUAAAGCUCCAAGAUGUUCGGCUUAAUCCAUCAGAGAGUUCACAAAAAUUAAAACUAGGAAACAUCUGCUUUAUGAGCAUGUCAUAUACAGGGGUGGCAUGGGGCUUUCAGAAGCAUUUUUGUGCCCCAGAAAUGCACCCUGCAGAUCACUACUUCCAAGAGUGUAACGUGCUACCGAGCUUGUGCUCAAGUGGAUCACUUCAGUGCAAACAAAGGAAGCAGAUGAAAUUACCUCCUGUUUGUAUGACCUCUUAUGGGGAUUUUGGAGAAGAGGUUUCUGGGCUACAUGGAAGGUAGAAUGGUUAGUCUUUAGGGUUCUUUCUACUUUCUAAGGAUCUGGGAUUCUAUGAGAAGUAACUCAGAAAGGCAAUGCUGCUUAGCUUUCUGGUGACACAUUAUUACAAAUUACUAUUACUAUAACAAAUUAAGGGCAUAGUUUGGAGACAUUUCAAAUCAGUGUAGAUAAAACUUAUGUCCCUUCUUAAUUUCAUAGGCAGAUUAACUCUAUGGAGUGACCCUCCCCCCAUAGAUGGCAGUUAUAGGCAGCUACGUAUACAGCAAAAUAUGACAUUCUCAGAUCAAGUAGUCAUUACUCAUGCUCUUCAAAGUGCAAGACUAGGACUCAUUUCGAUCAUCCAUUACACUCCACUGCAAUAACUGGUGGGUCUGUUUCUUACAUUAUGGCUUCUUCCUAUUUGGCCACCAGCAAAUAUCUGGCACCUAGUGGGCCUCUGAUAAGCAUGUAUUUAUUGAAUGGAUCUUAUUUUAUUGAAACGUAUCCUAUUUCCCAGAGGAGGAGAAGUAGGGCAGGCAUUUCAGAAAAGAAACAGCAAGUCCACAUUGUUCCAGGGAUGCCACAUUGUCCUGGGUGGCUACAUCAUAUAGUGUAUUUGGGGGACAUUUGUAAAAUUGCUUUUGAAUGUAUGGACUACAUGGAGCAUCCUGCCUUGCCUAAUCAUAGACUUCUGUGUUCUUUUCCAUCAGUCACUUCCUCUUAGCUCUAACUCCUUUUCUCCAACCUCCUCUCACCUAAGCCUCUGAACAUCUGAUCUCUCUCUUUAAAGCUUUUAUCAAAGGAAGUUUUAAAGUAAGCUUCAGGGCUUAUAUCAUGCGCUUAAAUUAUGCUGACCAUAUUUCCAGGAAUUUCUGUACAAGCUGCAUGUAAUCUUACCUUUUUAAAAAAAGAUAAUUUAUUACAUGUGCAAGUAGCUGUGAUUCAAGUUCUAGCCCUUUAUAAAUUUUUUUUCUUAAAUCAGUAAGAGAAAUGUCCUUUAUCCAACCCUAUGUUCCAAUUUUUCUCCCUGAAAAUGUAUGGAUUACUUAAUACAUCCCUUGAAAAGUUCAGUAGGUUGACGUGAACCU